ensembl:lincRNA
AGCCCCGCGUGGGCCGGGGGGCAGGCAGGGGAGAGCAGGAGCAUCUGCGGGGCUUCUCCCGGUGCACCUGCUGCUCAGUCGCUCAGUCACGUCCCCGUGACCUCGGGACCCGUGGACUGAAGCACGCCGGGGCGUCCCUGCCCCUCACUGUCUCCCGGAGUUCACCCGAGUUCACGUCCAUUGAAUCGGUGACGCCGUUCGGCCAUCUCGUCCUUUUCCCGAGCGUUGCCCAGCAUGUCCACCUAUUCUUCAACAAGUACCUGCCAAAGUCUUAACUUCUGCCGCACACUCUGCAGGGAGCUGAGAUCGCAGAUGCUAAGGGGAGUGUGGGCUGUGGCCUCCGAGGAGCUGAAGUCUGGUGGGGAGGCAUGAGGGUAAAGGAACACCUGUGCCUGGGGCUAGCUCAGGGGGUGAUGCAGGGGACCUCAUGGAAGACGCGAGAAGACUUCCCUGAGGAAAGGACAAUUGCCGCCAGCUGGAGAGGUGACUCAAGAUGGUCACAAAGCCAGGCAAGCGUUCGGGGUUGGCCGCAGACCUCAUUGCAAACCAAGUGUCUGCAGAUGCCACGGGGCUUGACCCCCAGGUGAGAGAGGAGAGGCUGCCACCUCCACCUCCGUCUCGGGGCUCACUCACUCCCACACGCUUCGUCUGCUCAAGACGCCCCCUCUGGGAGCUCAGCCACCCUGCCGUGAGCCCAAGAUGCACCGAGCCGCCGUCACGGCAGACACUCCAGGAACAGGCCACGCUGGCUCUCAGACCGCCACCGGCGUCCCCUUCCAGCCUGAGUGAGCCUCCAGGGACGCCCAGCCAGGUAUCAGAAGGAUUCAUUACGACCGUGUCUGCAGGCCCUUCAACCAGACAACUGUGCUUUUAAGACCCUUAGACUUGUUCCACAGAGCCUCACAGGGAUCCAGUGUGGGGAGGUUUACCUUGAAUGAGUUCCACAGCUCUGUAAACGUGCCUUCUGCCUCGUGGAAAGAAUCGUAACAUGCAUGCACGGUAAGUCACUUCAGCUGUGUCCGACUCUAUGAUGCUGUGCACUGUAACUCACCAGGCUCCUCUCUCCAUGGGAUUCUCCAGGCAAGAGGACUGGAGUGGGUCGCCAUGCCCUCCUUCAGGGGAUCUUCCCGACCCAGGGAUCAAACCUGAGUCUCCUGCAUUGCAGGCAGAUUCUUUAUCUCUGAUCCAUGAGGAAGCCAAGAAUUAUAAACCGGUACAUAACGUACCGUGGAGUUUCUAAGAUAAUCAGUAGACUUGACUGAACAGGAAAGAGGGAGGCAGGAUGGAGAAGCCUUGGAGCCCCCCAGACUGCAUUGGGCAUCAAGCAAGUUCACACAGCUACCCAGACAAAACCCCUGUCCACUUCUUGUAGAAAAGGCAGAGCCAGGAGCCCAGGGCCCUGGAGCCUCACUCCCAGAAACAGGACGGGCCCCUGGCUGAGAGGUGAUGACACGCCUGGCAGGUUUUAGAAACAGUCUGCACGAGGGACGGCCCUGCCCUCCUCAUUGCCUCCUUUCUGAACAAGAAUGGCCCCUGCAGCCAUCCUCAGUCAAGGUCACUGCUGUAUUUUGCAUGCAGAGCAGGAGACCUGCUUAGACCCGAGGACUUUGGACCGAGAGGAAGUGCACUUGAAACAUGGGUUUUGAGCUGGGCGUCUGAGUGGGUGGAGGAAAAGUCACUCAGUAAACCAGGGGUCAUGGAGAGGAAGAACCAGGAAGACCUUCCCAGAAACCGGAUUGCAGCCCAGGAGGGCACAAGUCAGCAGACAGGGAAUUCACUCCAGAGGAGGUCGAGAUAAUGAAUCAGUCUAAAGAGGACUGUGAUACUAGUGUGCUAAAAACAUGGAAAAUAGAAGGCAUAACCAGAUGACGAUACAGUUAAACCGGAUACCCAUCUGCUAUCCAUCAAGGAUGUCAAGAUGCUAAGAAUUAAUUUUAAAUGCUCAAAGUAAAAACAAACUGUACAGCUCAUUGGAGAAGUAAACGUGAGCUAAGAGCAGGAGAGAGCUUAGUGUGAGCAUGCCUUUCGCACAUCUUCUCUGAAAGGAAAGGAAAUAAGACUGUGCAGUAGGUGUGGGCACGCGGUGGGACUCGGGAGUCCCCAGUGACACCUGGGAAGUGACCUCAGGCUCACAGAAGAGAUGCAGCUGAGAGUGACAGGCUGCCUUUGGGAGAGAAAAAAUGGCAACCCACAGCGUAUUUCUCCUGGAUAAGAGGGUGGGAAGAAACUCUCACUGGGACAGGAUGGAAAUGAAGCAGCGGGGAGGUGAAGUCCGUGCGAGAAUGCCUAGGGAGGACACUUGGGGAGUGUGGAAGGCUGGAAGCAGCAUUGCCAGGAGGGGAGCAGGUGUGAGGUCAGGGGGAGUGGACGGCAGUGCCGGAGGUCCUAAAUGCGUGAUGGGCACCAGCCACCCGCCCUGGAGGCUCUUCACAAGGACAGCCCUGCAGAGGUGCAGCCAGUGCCACGGUGAGUCAGAGGUGCAGCCAGCAGCCACGUGAGUCAGAGGUGCAGCCAACAGCCACGUGAAUCAGAGGUGCAGCCAGCAGCCACGUGAGGCAGAGGGGCAGCCCGCGCAGCAGGGAGCCAGAGGGG